GCGACCGUGGCGGAACUGGCAGACGCGCAGGACUAAGGAUCCUGUCUUUCACGAGGUGGAGGUUCAACCCCUCUCGGUCGCACCA
rnacentral:tRNA from 1 species